CGAUACCGACUCGCGAGUGCGUGUGCGCAGAUCGAUCGAACGGUUUGAAUUUCGAAAUCGAUUUAUAGAUUAAUCUUAAAUUUAUUUUGUGCGAUACGAGACCUCAAACAUACAAUGUUUAAUUAUUAUAAGUGUUUUAAGUGUGUUACUACUUUGCAAACUCCGAUUUUAUACAGAGUGUUCAAUGGAACUUGGAUGCAAUGAAGAUUACUUUAUUCGUGCUGGUGAUGUGUUAUUCAAAUGACGUCACAUGAAACCUGACAUGGAAAAUUAAAGGAGAUUUGAAUUACAAGUCGAGCAAGCUCGUCUAUUUGGUAGACUGGGUGAGGAAGGCAAAAGAAGUAGACGAGAGGUGAGGGAUUUGAAGAAGACAUUCUCCACAGAGGCCUAAUACAUUUGAAACUAAGAUAGAAAAUGAAUAUUAAUCUUAGGACGACAGCUCCUGAAUCCAUUAACUCAUGGUAAACAUUUACCCCCUUAUUCAUAGACUUUUAUUUAAGGACGGAGUAAAGCUGUGGUAACAAGUCUUUUUCUCAGUGCUGACGGCGUGGCAGUAUUCGCAGUGCGUAGACAUAGGGCCGUUGUGAGUGGCUAAGAUUGAGAUACAACAAUCAGUACUGAGAAACAGACAGGGGUUGGAGAAUGGUCUUCACACGAGGCCUUAAACGAACUUACGACGCGUUCGAAUCGCUGCAAAAACGAUUGAG